GCUUGCUUUUUCUUUUCUUCUACUUACAGUCGCAACGAUCACCUGCAUUUCCCCAAUACAGCAACGAAAGAAUUGUUGCCAAUUACCUGUCCAAGUAAUCUCUCAAUCUUUGUAUAUCAACUGCCACCGGAGUUCAACUUGGGUCUCCUCCGCGACUGCACCCACCUCAACGUUUACACUAACAUGUGUCCCCAUGUCGCCAACCACGGCCUUGGCCAGCAGCUUUCCACCACCGGUGCUUGGUUCGCCACCCACCAGUUUCUUGCCGAGAUGAUAUUCCACGCCCGUGUUGAGAACCACCCAUGUCGCACUUGGGAUCCCG
rnacentral:misc_RNA from 1 species